AGGAUCAUGUCGAUGCAUACCAGCAGACUCGUCACCUGCAGUGACAGAGAAACAGCACAGCACCGUGAGGAUCAAGUUUAAGGCUCAGACAGCUAAGGCAGUUAAGGUAGGGCGUCUGAGCCAAGGUCAACCAGCUAUUCCCUCAACAAGCAGGUCAAGUGCUAUCACUUGAGAGCAGAAACAGAAGAAUGAAAAUGAGUCUAUCUCAUGAUUUUCCCCUGAAGCCAAAACUGGCAAGUCAUUUUUCGAUUUCGUGUGCCUGUGAGAUAUCCUGAUAAUUGUUUCCAAAAAGAGAAUCGUAUUAACACUGCUGCUUAACAUUGGCGGAUGCUAGAGAUAUAAUUACACAACAUUAUGUACCAAUCAGAGUUUUUAAACUGGAGGUAAACCUGAACAAUGCAAAGUUAUGCAGUGAGUUUCAGUGAUGUUACUCACAUCACAGUUUGCAAACACUGUCAUGUUAAAAAGAGCAAAUGGUUUCUCAAGCACAACUUAUUUUCAUUCUAAUUACAUCAAUUGAGCAUAGUUAGGUAUCUCCCAACAUGUGAUGUUAUUGUCUAGUAACACAGCAUCCCUAUUGGUUUUCUGUGAAGUGCACUUACUACAGUGCAGAGAAUACAAAAAUGUCCUCCUGAAACUGAUGUAUGCUUGCUGAAUGCUCCACUAAACUUUCAUUUAGCGAGAUGAACUCUAUUUAGGAGCGGUUGUAGUUUUAUCCUUUAAAAACAAUCUUAAGAUUUACCAAAACAUUUUGCCCCUUUUCUUCUAGUUUGAAAUCAGGUCAGAUGGGAGGUGAGGAAAACCAUAAUUACAUCCUCAAAAUAUCAUUUGACUAAGACAGCAAAUGGAUCAGAGCUUUUUCCAGGAGACUGGCCUUUCUGAUUGCAGUUAAACGCUUGGAGAGCCCCUCAGAAAUCCUAAAAGCAGAAAACCACAAUAAAGAGACGGACUGAGGAAUGAGGGGGUCAGCUGAAAACUCAAUAAUAUU